rnacentral:lncRNA from 1 species
UUAUUGUUCGACGAAAAUAUUUUACUUCACACACACACACACACACCGGAUAAGUUGCCAAACUGACAAGGAAUCAACAUUCACCAAUCCAUAAUUUCUUAGUAUCCUGUUGGUCGCAUUCUAACGAAUCUUCCGAUAAUAUGUAAGAAACUCUUUCGUGGCCAAGUGGUAAGUCAACGGGUUUUGGUCCCACUAUUUAGAGGUUGGAGGGACUAUAACGAAUCAAAGGAUUGGAUUUUGAGCGACUACGCUGAUCUUUAUAUGUUUUGGCCACAUCUGUUUCCGCUCUGAAGAAGAAGGUUUUUAUCCGAGGGAGAGAUCGAGUUUCAAGAAAUAGUGAAUGGUCAAUGGACUUAGUCGAUCCGAGCCAUCAAAGACCAAAU